GGUGACAGUUUAUAAAAGGAAAAGGGGAAGUCCUGUGUUAGCAUGAGUUGGUUUGUUGUGAUUGAACAUGGUAAUGAGGUGAGCCAAAAGGGGGCUUUUGAUUGCUAGAUUUCAAUACAUUGAUAGCUGGACUUUGGUGGUCAGCCUCAGGAGGAGGGAGUGGCCAAAUAAGGGAAUAGACCUUGGUGGCUGGCUUUAGAGAUGCAAUAUGUUUUUAGCAAGGCAGAGGGGAUGGGGGAGAAGGGCAAGGCCUGCCAGAGCAGUGUUAGCUGUGCUCAGGCCUGCUAGAGCCCUUCAGUAACUUCACUCUAGUGUGUUUUCCAGAAUAUCUCUUCAGACUCUUGUAUCUCAGUCCCAGAUAUAAGCAGAGAAACUUAAACAGAGCAACAGUGGUAGAUAAAUGUUUGCUGCUGCAGGGGACAAGAUUCUGCUCUCAAUGGGUAUGUGCUGGACUAGGGUUGAAAGAAGGCCACUGGGGGAAUUUAUUUUUCCUCCCGUAUUGAGAGAGGAGAUUAUGAAGUCAAAAAUCAUCCUGCUAUCGCAGAGGGAAGCGAGGUCUUGGUGGGGUCAUCCCAAUGCCUGAGGCAGAGAUAAAACCCAGCCUGUUAUAAUUCCCACCCUGUGAAAUUAUUAAAAUCCCACAUUUUAUCAUGCAGGCAUUUGGAACUAAAAUGCAUUUUCUACUGCUACUGACCUCUAUGUGCCUAUUCUAAACCCUGCCUGCCCCAUCCACCACCAUGUGCUUAACAGCCUUAGUGGAGACAUCCUUGACUCUCCUAUCCCUUGCCAGUCCCAGGAGACGGUGAACCCCUCAGAUGUCUGUUUUCUAGAAGGUAAGUGACUUGGGCUGGCCCCACAGAUGGCUAUUACCCUGUGAUGAUUCACUGACUGUUUUAGUUUCUUACAGGUUUUUCUUUAAGUUUGCUAUUUUAUUUGGUUAUGUAUGUAUAUGGGUGCUAUGCCUACAUGGUUGUGUACCACGCCUAUGCCUGGCGUCCUUAGAGGUCAGAAGAGAGCAGAGAAUCCCCUGAAAAGAGUUACAAGUGGUCAUGAGCUGCCAUUCGAGUUCUAGGAAUCAAACCAGGUUCUCUGGAAAAACAACAAGUGCUCUUAAUCACUAAGCUACCUCUCCAGCCCUAGUGUUUGUUUUUGCUUUGUUUUAUUACAAAGAAAUGUGAGCUUGUUUUUAAGAAGGGAAAUAACAAAGAACUCUAUCAAGACAACUUUAGUCACACUCCUUGCCUUUCCUGACAACUGGACUAGCUUUUCCUCACCAAGAUGGUGAGGGAAUGGCCCUCCCCACCUUCCUGGUGCUAACAUCAAUACAUGUAGAGCUGCCUAUGUGAUCAUGAGUGAGGGCUGAAGGCCAGAAUGGAUUGAACUAUUACAUAUUUAACCCUGAAACUGCUGUCAAGUCAUCAAGACCUGUAUCAUGAACAACUUUCAGAUUGUUAUCUGUGGGCACUGACCAAAAGCUUUACUGAGGCACAGGCAAGCAUCUGGGUUAACGAGUCUGGCGUCUGCAGGAUAUCCUUUUAAAGCCUCAGUAUUAUGUUUGGCUACCUCUCAAUCGACUCAUAUACUCCUCCAUUGAUAAAUGUUGAAAUCACUCCAGUAGCUCUUUUUCGUCUGGCAAACAGAAAAAGAGCAGUAAGCCCCUCCCAGACAGUUACCUGCAUCCACUCAGGCUUCAUGUGACAGAGAGUGCCAAGCAUGGUGGACAGCUGAUUAAAAGGCUUGUUCAUUUUACAUUUUUCUUAGUCCCAUCAGAUUACUUUCUCCAAGUACAGCUUUCAUCACUGACGACCAGAUGGGCCCUGGGUUUGCUCAUUUUAACCUUGGACCGCAAGCCACAAACCACAUUGUGACUCCCUAAAUUUAUAUGAGCCUGCUCUAAUGUGCUUUGUAGAAUUGCCCAGACUGCUGAAGAAUGAGUCUUGGGAGUAGCUUGGCUCUUUUGCUCAUAUUUGACGAGAUUAGAGAAAAUUUCAGAACUUUAGAUUUGAGUUGAAGUCUCAGUUUAGCCCAUUCUCAAUUGUAGGAUUUGGCGGGUUGCAGUUUCCCCAGGUCACAGGUUCCCCGGGUCACAGGUUCCCCGGGUCACAGGUUCCCCAGGUUACAGGUUCCCCUGACCUCCAUGAUCCUAAGCUUGCUCAGCUAAGCCAAAGGUAGGGCUGCCUUGCUCACUAAGUGACAGGGAUUAGAAUGUCAAUUCAUAAGGCCUCCUUAUAACUAGCAGAAUAUAAAGUCUUCUCAAGAGAUGGUAGCUGUCCUCAUCGCACGGAGUCCUAACCCCUUGGAGGAAAAGCAUCCACCCCACACGGGUCUGAGGAAAGAUGAUUUGUUUGGAAAACGCACAAAAACCACAGUUACAAUUAAAGAUGUCUGAGUGGGAGUUCACACACUUUUCAACUGGGUAUGGCGAAUGAUCCAUUUCGCCAACUUAUUCCAACUUUUCAGAGCCUGGUCAGCUAGAAGAACUCAAUGGAAAAUUGAGGUAAGCCAAAUAUGGACUAUACACCCAAGCUGUUGGUACGGUUAGUAGCUCGAUGCUUCAGUGUACUUCCAUGCACAGAAAAGCCAACGUCUGAAAAAAAAAUGUGUGUUUGCUUCCAACCUGAAAGGAACGGCCUGUGGAACACCAGAUAGACUCUCUCACAGAAGCAUUGCAUCUGAGAAUCUGUCAAAGGGAACUUCUGUAUCCUUCCUGGUACCGAGAGUCACUGCCUGGUCCACUGAGCCUCAGACUGAGGUUGGAAAGCUCACCACCCCAGACUGCCUGUUCUUACUUUGUGUUACCUGAACCAUUGUGAUGUCUUCCCAUGGUGCUUCACAAUAUAGCCAUAUUCCUUCAUGCCAUAGUCCCAGGAAUACCUUAUAUCUCCAUAUACUUUCAGAAGCCCUCACUUGUAUCUUCUUCUGGGUUUCAAGCACCUAAUUUGCCCGCUGGUACUGGCACGCCUGAGACAGAACACCUUAUAGAUAGGUAUAUCAGCUAACUGGGAGGGGGGAUGUUGGACAACAGUUGUGAGGCCUUCUCUGGAGUGAUAAGCUUUAAUCACGCAGUUGCUGGCCUAAUGUUUCCCAGCUUACUAGCUAUCUUGACACUCCUGUCCUGCCAUCUUUUCCUGAUGCUGUGACAGAACGCCCUGUCAAGAGCCACCUGAAGGAAAAGGGGUUUAUUAUGGCCCACUGCUCCCUGUUACUGCCCACCAUAGUGGAGGAGUAAAUGCAGCAGAAGCCUGAAUCAGUACCUUGCAACACACCACAGGAAGCAGAGCGGGAUGAGUGCACUGGGACCCAGUUCACUUUCUGUGUUUGUGAAGCCCAGGAUCUCCUUUCUAGGGCAUGGGCCAGCCCCCGGUUACCAUGAAUCUUCCCAUAUUGUCUAACACAUCUAGAAUAAUCCUCCCACAGGCAUGACCAGAGACCCGUGGCCUGAGUGGUUCCAGAUCCUGUCAGGUUGCCGUUAACACUAAGCAUAGCCCUCAUUCCUUCCUAUCUCUUCACCUCUGAAAUAAAUCACUUUUAUAUUUCAGACCCAUUUCUAGGUGGUGAGGUGCUGGAGGACCCAAUGAUGACAAACACUGACUCUCUUCUGGGAUUUACUUGGAGUCUUCAGAUGACAACUUUCAGGCAGCAGAAAACACUUCCUGAAUUUUCCUUUCUGCUGAGCUAAUGGCUCCACUGCUUUCACCAGUUGCUAACACAACAGGCUCAGAGAUGUCCAGCAAAGUCCAAGGGCAUUUGUUAUAGAUGAGGGCCAUUGUCAGUCCCCAAAAGCUCAAGCAUUGAAGCUAUAGCCUGCCCUUGUCUCUCCUUCCUUGCUGCUCUGAGGUGAGCAGCUUUGCUGUAACACAGGCUCCGCUGCUAGGAAGCUCUUGCUUUGGCCCAGGCCCAGAAGCAACCAAGGUAGUCAACCAUGGAUUAAAAACAGGAUCAAAAAUAAGUUCUUCCUCCUAUAAAUUUAUUUUCUCUGAUCUUUGGUGACAGCAAUGGAAAGUUGACCCACAUGGAAUUCUUUAGCCCACCAUUAUCUUCCAGACCUGGUUUGUUUGUGUCUAAGGUGAGAAUAAUAGUUAGAAAGCAAGAUGGCUCAGAGAUUUACUGCUCUGUAGUGUAGAGUUCAAAGAGAAAAAAAAAGCUUUGAAGAUGAAAUGCUACCUUACCAGGGAGACCCAGGAGGACAGAAAGGUUAGACAGAGUUCAAAA
rnacentral:sRNA from 1 species